rnacentral:tRNA from 1 species
GCAUUGGUGGUUCAAUGAUAGAACUCUUACUUUCCAAGCAGGAGACCUGGGUUUGCUUCCCAGCCAAUGCA